AUUGAACGCUGGCGGCAGGCCUAACACAUGCAAGUCGAGCGGAGCGGCGGACGGGGGCGUAAUGCCUAGGACUCUGCCUGUUAGUGGGGGAUGACGUCCGGAACCGGACGCUAAUACCGCAUACUAUCAGAUGAGCCUAGGUCGGAUUAGCUAGUUGGUGGGGUAAGGGCCUACCAAGGCGACGAUCCGUAACUGGUCUGAGAGGAUGAUCAGUCACACUGGAACUGAGACACGGUCCAGACUCCUACGGGAGGCAGCAGUGGGGAAUAUUGGACAAUGGGCGAAAGCCUGAUCCAGCCAUGCCGCGUGUGUGAAGAAGGUCUUCGGAUUGUAAAGCACUUUCAGCUGGGAGGCGUUACCCACAGAAUAAGCACCGGCUAACUUCGUGCCAGCAGCCGCGGUAAUUC
rnacentral:rRNA from 1 species